rnacentral:rRNA from 1 species
CCUACGGGAGUCAGCAGUAGGGAAUCUUCCACAAUGGACGAAAGUCUGAUGGAGCAACGCCGCGUGCGUGAAGAAGGGUUUCGGCUCGUAAAGCUCUGUUGGUAGUGAAGAAAGAUAGAGGUAGUAACUGGCCUUUAUUUGACGGUAAUUACUUAGACAGUCACGGCUAACUACGUGCCAGCAGCCGCGGUAAUACGUAGGUGGCAAGCGUUGUCCGGAUUUAUUUGGCGUAAAGCGAGUGCAGGCGGUUCAAUAAGUCUGAUGGGAAAGCCUUCGGCUCAACCGGAGAAUUGCAUCAGAAACUGUUGAACUUGAGUGCAGAAGAGGAGAGUGGAACUCCAUGUGUAGCGGUGGAAUGCGUAGAUAUAUGGAAGAACACCAGUGGCGAAGGCGGCUCUCUGGUCUGCAACUGACGCUGAGGCUCGAAAGCAUGGGUAGCGAACAGGAUUAGAUACCCUAGUAGUC